UAAGGGAGGACAUGCAGUGUUUGACUUCCUGUGCCUGGCUUAUUUCACCUAGCUUAGUAUUCUCUAAUUCCAUCUACGCUGCCUGAAACCACAGAAUUUCUAGAAGCAAUCAGACUGAAAUACAAGCCAACAGGAUUUGCUGAUUAAUGGGAUUGUGGAGCAUGAGAGGAAGAAAAGAGAUAAGGCUGGCUCACAGGCUCUUGGUCUGAGCAACAGGAGGGAUGGUGAACUGGAGAUGUAACGACUUCCUUUUUUGUCUUGGAAGAUUCCUAAAUGUCAUUGAGAGACCCAAGACGUCUCAAUCUCACUUAAUGCAAACGGAAAACCAAGGGUUUUUAAAGGUGAAAUGGAUCUUGCUAAUGAAGAAGUAUCACUCUUCGUGGGGCAUGCAGCUUGUUAGUUCAAGUUAGAAUUCUGGGCAGUAGGCGUGUGCCAAGCUGCAAGACUUUUUCUCCUCCUAAAUGAAUCGUGCAGUAAAUUGGGCAUUUGGAUCUUUCCCUUGUGAAGCUAUCUCACAAGUUUGACUGUUGACAUCUUGGGAAACAGUAUCCUACUGGAUAUGGUUGGAGACACCCUGCUUUGGAGAGAUGAUGAUGAGUAUGAAUAUAGUAAAUAAGUCAUAGAUAGACAGUCCGAUGGAAUAUAGUAAAUAAGUCAUAGAUAGACAGUCCGAUGUCACGCGCUGACACUUUUAAUAAUAGUGCCCUCCUCUAGGGCUACUGUGAAGCCUAAAUGAGCUAAGUAAUAUAAAGUACUUACACCAGUGUUUGGCAUAUACAAAUAUUUAAUAAACUUUGUCAUUGCAUCAUCAUUAUUAUUAGAACAGAGUGGAGACUCACCCGUUCUACUGGCAACUGGAGUUUGUUCAAGAAAUACCUGAGUUGGUUCUUUAACUGUCGAGUUCGAUUGUCCAAGUGGAAGGGUGGGAGUCUCAGGGGAGAGCAUGCCAGGCAGAAGAAACAGCACAAGCAGACAUCCGGGGACAUGAACCAGCAGUAAAGCAGGGGUCCAUACAUUUAGAUAGAGUAUGAGUAGAUCAAUGCUCAAAAACUAUCCUAAAACUAAAAGAAGAUUGGAAUAUCAAUCAUACACCACACACCUCCUUGCAGCUCCUUUACAAAAGUCCCUGGGGAACAAGUUGCUUCAGUUCAUGGCAUCAAUACCCAAGGCUCAUUAUUAAAUACUAUUGUAGUGAUGCUUCAAAUUAAAUCUAGAUAUUAUUCACUGCCACAUCUCUUCCCAAACUUAUUAUUUCCAGGAAAACUCUUAAGCAACAAAUUCAGUGAAUUGGUACAACCACCAUGUUUACUGACACUUUCUAGAAGCUCUACCUUCUCAAAUGUUCUUACCGAUAUGACAUUUUUAGUAUAAAAUACCAACACUUAAGGCAAAGGAAAUUCCUACUGUUUG
rnacentral:lncRNA from 10 species